rnacentral:rRNA from 1 species
CCCUUAGACACUCUAGGCCGCACGCGCGCUACAAUGGUCUUCGCAAACGGAUGCAUUCUCGAAGGAGAAUGCCAAUCUUGGAAUCUAUGCCUUGGUCGGGACAGUUGCUUGCAAUUUUUCGACUCGAACCAGGAAUUCCUUGUAAUCGUGAUUCAUCACAUCACGAUGAAUACGUCCCUGCCCUUUGUACACACCGCCCGUCGCUCCUACCGAUCGAAGAGUUAGGUGAAUUGUUUUGAUCGAUAAGAUUUGACUAUGGUCAACUCUCGUUGUGAAAUUCUGUGAAUCUGACUGUUUAGAGGAAGGAAAAGUCGUAACA